GGGGAUUUAGCUCAGUGGGAUAAGCGUGUGCCUAGCAAGCACAAGGACAUGAGUUCGAUCCCCAGUACCACCCA
rfam:Cavia porcellus supercont2_14 genomic scaffold, whole genome shotgun sequence.